GAUGAACGCUGGCGGCGUGCUUAACACAUGCCAGUCGAACGAAGCACUUUAUUUGAUUUCCUUCGGGACUGAUUAUUUUGUGACUGAGUGGCGGACGGGUGAGUAACGCGUGGGUAACCUGCCUUGUACAGGGGGAUAACAGUUGGAAACGGCUGCUAAUACCGCAUAAGCGCACAGCAUCGCAUGAUGCAGUGUGAAAAACUCCGGGGGUAUAAGAUGGACCCGCGUUGGAUUAGCUAGUUGGUGAGGUAACGGCCCACCAAGGCGACGAUCCAUAGCCGAACUGAGAGGGUGACCGGCCACAUUGGGACUGAGACACGGCCCAAACUCCUACGGGAGGCAGCAGUGGGGAAUAUUGCACAAUGGGCGAAAGCCUGAUGCAGCGACGCCGCGUGAGCGAAGAAGUAUUUCGGUAUGUAAAGCUCUAUCAGCAGGGAAGAUAAUGACGGUACCUGACUAAGAAGCACCGGCUAAAUACGUG
rnacentral:rRNA from 1 species